rnacentral:rRNA from 1 species
ACUAUACCAUGCUGAAUAUACCGGUUCUCGUUAGAUCACCGAAGUCAAGCAUCAUUGGGCGCGGUCAGUACUUGGGUGGGUGACCACCUGGGAACACCGCGUGCCGUU